AAGGUUUGGUCGACUUGGAGACGUCAGUGGCCACGCCUGUUCUGGAGAGCUGCCCGGCGGCGCGGCGCGGCGCGCAGGAGGAGGCUCCAGGACUUUACUCCAACAUGCAGAAAAACCCCCCAGAAAUCAGAAGUUUUAUCCUUCAGCGUCAGAGUUAAUGAUUAAAAGAGCCAGAGCGCCAUAAACCAGAACAGGAGGCCAACAUGGUUCCGCUCGCACGAUCUGGACCCACCAAGGCAAUUUAUUCUCUCUCUAUAAAACUGCAGUGAAACAUAAACCAAAAAGCAGAACAGACGUGAUUAAAACCUCCUGCAGCUGCGUGUUUUCAUUCCAGCCACCUUUUCUCCUCUGAAGCUGAGUCACUGAAGUCAGUUUAGAUAAAUCACAGUCACUGAUGUUCUGAUAAAGACAGUCAAACAUCUGGAUCAUCUGGAUCCAAACGUGUUGAUCUCUUCCCUGUUGUUUCUUUAAGCAGCAGGGCCGGAUUAACCCUCCAGGGAACCCGGGGCAGGGCUCCAAACAACUGUUUCCUUCCCUAUUUUAUCUAUUUAUGAGUCCAGUUUUAUUGAGUAAAAUGCAACAUGUGUGCCUAAAAUACAAUAAAAGCAUUUCAAAUGGACUCUAAAGUGUCAACUCACAACAAUGAGAGUUUAUUCAUCCAUUUAGUCUCUAAUGGAGACGGUGCCGGAGGAUUUGGUGCCCGGCGGCAGACAGAAUUGCAGCGUUCAGGUCAGUUUGUGGAGCAGCUUAGUGGAGUUUUCAUUUUACGAGAUGAACUCUGGGCCUCGGAGCGUCUGGAGAGCGAGCCGGUCGUGUCUCAUGGAGAGGGGAAGGAAGGAAUGUGCUGAUGUUUAAUUUAAUCUUUGUGCACACUUUCAUUAACCUCACAUACAAUCUUCAUCAGCAACAGAGCAGGAACCCUAAAUCUUCCACUGGCAUGUCUUUUCGUGUGCUUUUAUUUUGACAGUUUUGUAAUUAAACACCAGCUUCCUGCUUGUAAAUAAAGUUUCUCCAUUUACCUCUCUCCCUCUCCACACACACACACACACACACACACGCACUCUGUUAAUUACUCUGCGCUCAUUUGCCAUUAAAUUUGUUUAAUUUGCCGACUAACUCAUGAAAAUGUACCAUAAUUAAUUCAGUCCAUUUGUUUGUGUGCGCCGAGUUUGUUUUUUAACAGCAG